GAUGAACGCUGGCGGCGUGCCUAAUACAUGCAAGUCGAGCGAACAGACGAGGAGCUUGCUUCUCUGACGUUAGCGGCGGACGGGUGAGUAACACGUGGAUACCCUACCUAUAAGACUGGGAUAACUUCGGGAAACCGGAUCUAAUACCCGAUAAUAUAUUGAACCGCAUGGUUCAAUAGUGAACGCCGGCUUUGCUGUCACUUAUAGAUGGAUCCGCGCCGCAUUAGCUAGUUGGUAAGGUAACGGCUUACCAAGGCAACGAUGCGUAGCCGACCUGAGAGGGUGAUCAGCCACACUGGAACUGAGACACGGUCCAGACUCCUACGGGAGGCAGCAGUAGGGAAUCUUCCGCAAUGGGCGAAAGCCUGACGGAGCAACGCCGCGUGAGUGAUGAAGGUCUUCGGAUCGUAAAGCUCUGUUAUUAGGGAGGAAGAGAUGUGUAAGUAACUAUGCACGUCUUGACGGUACCUAAUCAGAAAGCCACGGCUAACUUCGUG
rnacentral:rRNA from 1 species